UUAAGAGACAUCGUUCUAAAUUGGUUGGAAUUUGGAUAAUUGUAAUGACGGUGAGGAUAGUUGGGGGCAUUCAUAUUUAAUUGCUAGAGGUGAAAUUCUUGGAUUUUUUAAAGACGGACUUCUGCGAAUGCAUCUGCCAGAGAUGUUUUUCUCGAUCAAGAACGAAAGUUAGGGGAUCGAAGACGAUCAGAUACCGUCCUAGUCUUAACCAUAAACUAUGCCAUCUAGAUAUUGGGCUCAUUAAGACUUGAUAUCCUCAGCAUCUUCAGAGAAAUCAAAGAUCUCAGGCUCCGGGGGGAGUAUGGUCACAAGACUGAAACUUAAAGGAAUUGACGGAAGGGCACCACCAGGAAUGGGGCUUGCGGCUUAAUUUGACUCAACACGGGGCAACUCACCAGGACAAGAUACAGAAAGGAUUGACAGAUUGAUAGAUCUUUCUUAAUUCUAUGGGUGGUGGUGCAUGGCCGUUCUUAGUUGGUGAAGUGAUUUGUCUGGUUAAUUUCGUUAACGAACGAGACCUUGGUUUGCUAAGUAGUAUCGAAAACAACUUCAAUUGAAUAUAUUCUUCUUAGAAGGACUUUGUGUUUUCAGCACGAGGAAGUGUGAGGCAAUAACAGGUCUGUGAUGCCCUUAGAUGUCCUGGGCCGCACGCGCGCUACACUGGUGGAUUCAGCGAGUUCUCAUCCUGUUUAGAGAAGGAUAGGAAUUCCAAGUAACGUUUGCCGUGAUGGGGAUAGAUUCUUGCAAUUGUCAAUCUUAAACGAGGAAUUCCUAGUAAGUGCAAAUCAUCAGCUUGUGCUGAAUAUGUCCCUGCCCCUUGUACACACCGCCC
rnacentral:rRNA from 1 species